CCCUUAGAUGUUCGGGGCCGCACGCGCGCUACACUGAAGGAAUCAGCACGUCUUUCUCCUUGUCCGAAAGGACUGGGUAACCCGCUGAACCUCCUUCGUGCUAGGGAUUGGGGCUUGUAAUUCUUCCCCAUGAACGAGGAAUUCCCAGUAAGCGCGAGUCAUAAGCUCGCGUUGAUUACGUCCCUGCCCUUUGUACACACCGCCCGUCGCUACUGCCGAUUGGAUGGUUUAGUGAGAUCCUCGGAUUGGUCCCGGAGCGGCCUCUGGUCGUGCCGGAGUGCCGAAAAGAAUGUCGAACUUGAUCAUCUAGAGGAAGUAAAAGUCGUAACA
rnacentral:rRNA from 1 species